rnacentral:lncRNA from 1 species
UCUCCAUCCCACCUGCUGAUUCAUCUCUCCCUCUGCCCUCCCUGUUUGUGUGAAACAUAAUGUGGAAUUGGCAUGGGAAGACAGAAUCAAAUACAUGUUAACCAUGCCUCUGCCCUUAUAUAGCAGUGGACAGCACUGCCUAAUGGUGCUGAGCAAAUUUCCUGCUGCUUGGAGAUCUCAUUCAGAGCUGCUGAUUCAUUUCUCCCUCCCAACAAAUAGUGCUCCUGCAGAAACCGCGGAAUAGAGUGGAUGAUAAGAUAAAUAUCCUGUAUCCUAGACCAUGAAUAGAAUAAACAGAAGAGAAAAGCAUCCUAGGGAACUGAAUGGAACUGGAAGAAAAC